GAACAACCACCAUCCCCCCUUCCCCAACACACCCUCUCAAGUGUCGACACGAGACACAGCCUCUCUGAAGGAAGAUUCACAACCACAGAAAGUUGAAGAGAAGCUUCUUUAAAUGCCAGGUUAUCAAGAUAAAUGAAAGCAUGUGAAAUCGGGGCUUAAGAUUGUGUCCCCGACGGGC
rfam:Ailuropoda melanoleuca scaffold1160_48, whole genome shotgun sequence.